UGAUCACAAUUUCUACUAGCUA
rnacentral:siRNA from 1 species